UACGUAGGUCCCGAGCGUUGUCCGGAAUUACUGGGUGUAAAGGGUGCGCAGGCGGUCUUGUGCGUCAGAAGUGAAAAUAUCACGGCUUAACCGUGAGGGUGCUUUUGAAACGGCGAGACUUGAGUACGGGGAGAGGAUGAUGGAAUUCCUGGUGUAGCAGUGAAAUGCGUAGAUAUCAGGAGGAACACCGGUGGCGAAGGCGGUCAUCUGGCCCGGUACUGACGCUCAGGCACGAAAGUGUGGGUAGCAAACAGG
rnacentral:rRNA from 1 species